rnacentral:rRNA from 1 species
CCUACGGGUGGCAGCAGUGGGGAAUAUUGCACAAUGGGGGAAACCCUGAUGCAGCGACGCCGCGUGAGUGAAGAAGUUUUUCGGUAUGUAAAGCCCUAUUAGCAGGGAAGAAAAUGACGGUACCUGACUAAGAAGCCCCGGCUAACUCCGUGCCAGCAGCCGCGGUAAUACGUAGGGGGCAAGCGUUAUCCGGAUUUACUGGGUGUAAAGGGAGCGUAGGCGGGAGCGCAAGUCUGAAGUGAAAUCCCAUGGCUUAACCAUGGAACUGCUUUGGAAACUGUGCAGCUGGAGUGCGGGAGAGGUAAGCGGAAUUCCUGGUGUAGCGGUGAAAUGCGUAGAUAUUAAGAGGAACACCAGUGGCGAAGGCGGCUUACUGGACUGUAACUGACGUUGAGGCUCGAAAGCGUGGGGAGCAAACAGGAUUAGAUACCCCUGUAGUC